GUGUCAGCAGCCGCGGUAAUACGUAGGGUGCAAGCGUUAAUCGGAAUGACUGGGCGUAAAGGGUGCGCAGGCGGCCUGUUAAGACAGAGGUGAAAUCCCCGGGCUUAACCUGGGAAUGGCCUAUGUGACUGGCAAGCUAGAGGCAGGCAGAGGGAGGCGGAAUUCCACGUGUAGCAGUGAAAUGCGUAGAGAUGUGGAGGAACACCGAUGGCGUAGGCAGCCUCCUGGGCCUAUACUGACGCUCAUGCACGAAAGCGUGGGGAUCAAACAGGAUUAGAUACCCUCGUAGUCC
rnacentral:rRNA from 1 species